AUGGACAAGAUCCUGAAAGCAUCAUUUUUAGUCCUGGCCCUUCACCUAGCCUGGGUGAGUGGCCAGCAGCAGGACAGACGUGACCAGCAGCAGGUGAGACAAAGUCCCCAAUCUCUGACAGUCUCGGCAGGAGGGACUUCAGUUCUGAACUGCACUUAUGAGAACAGCGCAUUUGACUACUUCCCAUGGUACCGGCAGUUCCCUGGUGAAGGCCCUACACUUCUGAUAGCCAUACGAUCCGUGUCGAAUAAAAAGGAAGAUGGAAGAUUCACAGUCUUCUUCAGGAAAAGUGAUAAACAGCUCUCCUUGCACAUCACAGAUUCUCAGCCUGGAGACUCAGCCAUCUACUUCUGUGCAGCAAGUACACAGUGCUCUCCAGGCACCUGCAGCCCACACCCAAACCCGCAGCUGAGGCUCCAGCAAAACUCUGCUGUGGUGCUGAGCCUGGCAGAGGUGCAGAGGGGUUUUCAUUUGCAGGAACAGGUGACAGGUGACACAGUGAAUGUAAGGAUUAGACUCAUUCAGGCCACAGACCGACCAAGGGGAAAUAAGUCUCCCUUUGCUCCUCGGGCACCAGUAGAGUUUUAG